rnacentral:rRNA from 1 species
CCUAACACAUGCAAGUCGAGCGGAAACGAGUUAUCUGAACCUUCGGGGGACGAUAACGGCGUCGAGCGGCGGACGGGUGAGUAAUGCCUAGGAAAUUGCCCUGAUGUGGGGGAUAACCAUUGGAAACGAUGGCUAAUACCGCAUAAUGCCUACGGGCCAAAGAGGGGGACCUUCGGGCCUCUCGCGUCAGGAUAUGCCUAGGUGGGAUUAGCUAGUUGGUGAGGUAAUGGCUCACCAAGGCGACGAUCCCUAGCUGGUCUGAGAGGAUGAUCAGCCACACUGGAACUGAGACACGGUCCAGACUCCUACGGGAGGCAGCAGUGGGGAAUAUUGCACAAUGGGCGCAAGCCUGAUGCAGCCAUGCCGCGUGUGUGAAGAAGGCCUUCGGGUUGUAAAGCACUUUCAGUCGUGAGGAAGGUGGUGUAGUUAAUAGCUGCAUUAUUUGACGUUAGCGACAGAAGAAGCACCGGCUAACUCCGUGCCAGCAGCCGCGGUAAUACGGAGGGUGCGAGCGUUAAUCGGAAUUACUGGGCGUAAAGCGCAUGCAGGUGGUUUGUUAAGUCAGAUGUGAAAGCCCGGGGCUCAACCUCGGAAUAGCAUUUGAAACUGGCAGACUAGAGUACUGUAGAGGGGGGUAGAAUUUCAGGUGUAGCGGUGAAAUGCGUAGAGAUCUGAAGGAAUACCGGUGGCGAAGGCGGCCCCCUGGACAGAUACUGACACUCAGAUGCGAAAGCGUGGGGAGCAAACAGGAUUAGAUACCCUGGUAGUCCACGCCGUAAACGAUGUCUACUUGGAGGUUGUGGCCUUGAGCCGUGGCUUUCGGAGCUAACGCGUUAAGUAGACCGCCUGGGGAGUACGGUCGCAAGAUUAAAACUCAAAUGAAUUGACGGGGGCCCGCACAAGCGGUGGAGCAUGUGGUUUAAUUCGAUGCAACGCGAAGAACCUUACCUACUCUUGACAUCCAGAGAACUUUCCAGAGAUGGAUUGGUGCCUUCGGGAACUCUGAGACAGGUGCUGCAUGGCUGUCGUCAGCUCGUGUUGUGAAAUGUUGGGUUAAGUCCCGCAACGAGCGCAACCCUUAUCCUUGUUUGCCAGCGAGUAAUGUCGGGAACUCCAGGGAGACUGCCGGUGAUAAACCGGAGGAAGGUGGGGACGACGUCAAGUCAUCAUGGCCCUUACGAGUAGGGCUACACACGUGCUACAAUGGCGCAUACAGAGGGCAGCAAGCUAGCGAUAGUGAGCGAAUCCCAAAAAGUGCGUCGUAGUCCGGAUUGGAGUCUGCAACUCGACUCCAUGAAGUCGGAAUCGCUAGUAAUCGUGGAUCAGAAUGCCACGGUGAAUACGUUCCCGGGCCUUGUACACACCGCCCGUCACACCAUGGGAGUGGGCUGCAAAAGAAGUAGGUAGUUUAACCUUCGGGAGGACGCUUACCA